UCCACGCCGUAAACGAUGAUUACUAGCUGUUGGCGAUAAACUGUCAGUGGCUAAGCGAAAGUGAUAAGUAAUCCACCUGGGGAGUACGAUCGCAAGGUUGAAACUCAAAGGAAUUGACGGGGGCCCGCACAAGCGGAGGAGCAUGUGGUUUAAUUCGAUGAUACGCGAGGAACCUUACCCAGGCUUAAAUGUAGAUUGCAUGAGGUGGAAACACUUCUUUCCUUCGGGACUAUUUACAAGGUGCUGCAUGGUUGUCGUCAGCUCGUGCCGUGAGGUGUCGGGUUAAGUCCCAUAACGAGCGCAACCCUCAUUCUUAGUUGCCAGCGGAUAAUGCCGGGGACUCUAAGGAAACUGCCGACGUAAGCCGAG
rnacentral:rRNA from 1 species